CUACGGGAGGCUCCAGUGGGGAAUAUUGCACAAUGGAGGAAACUCUGAUGCAGCAACGCCGCGUGGAGGAUGACACUUUUCGGAGCGUAAACUCCUUUUAUAUAGGAAGAAGAUGACGGUACUAUAUGAAUAAGCGCCGGCUAACUCCGUGCCAGCAGCCGCGGUAAUACGGAGGGCGCAAGCGUUACUCGGAAUCACUGGGCGUAAAGAGCGCGCAGGCGGAUUAAAAAGUCAGAAGUGAAAUCCUAUAGCUUAACUAUAGAACUGCUUCUGAAACUCUUAAUCUAGAAUAUGGGAGAGGUAGAUGGAAUUUCUGGUGUAGGGGUAAAAUCCGUAGAGAUCAGAAGGAAUACCGAUUGCGAAGGCGAUCUACUAGAACAUUAUUGACGCUGAGACGCGAAAGCGUGGGGAGCAAACAGGAUUAGAUACCCUUGUAGUC
rnacentral:rRNA from 1 species